UACGUAGGGGGCUAGCGUUGUCCGGAAUCAUUGGGCGUAAAGCGCGUGUAGGCGGUCCGGUAAGUCCGCUGUGAAAGUCGGGGGCUCAACCCUCGAAUGCCGGUGGAUACUGUCGGGCUAGAGUGCGGAAGAGGCGAGUGGAAUUCCUGGUGUAGCGGUGAAAUGCGCAGAUAUCAGGAGGAACACCAAUUGCGAAGGCAGCUCGCUGGGACGUAACUGAC
rnacentral:rRNA from 1 species